AUUUUCUUCCCAGCCACCUUCAUGAGCAGCCAGAAAAGCAUGGAACUCCUUGAGUUGCAUGUUACUUCAGAAUCACCUCCAGAUACUCACACUGAAAUUAGAAGCUGGAGAAGGCGGCUAAUGUCUUGUCUCAGUUUAUAGUUUAUAGUUUAUAUUUCCCUUGAUAUACAUUUAUAUUUCCUGGACCCACCUGCCCUUUGUAGUAAUCUUGUCUUAAUGCUUAUGAUGAAACGUAAGAAAAAAUGACUUUGGAUUUCUUCUAAAGCAAUCGCUUUCUUUCCCCCACCCCCUCAUCUCUCUCUUUCUCUCUCUCUCUCUCUGUCUUUCUUUCUUUCUUUCUUUCUUUCUUUCUUUCUUUCUUUCUUUCUUUCUUUCUUUCUUUCUUUCUUUCUUCUCUCUUUCACACACACACAUGCAGAAAUACACACACACACACACGCAGAAAUACACACACACACACACAUACACACACACACACACACACACAGAGAGAGAGAGAGAGAGAGAGAGAGAGAGAGAGAGAGAGAGAGAGAGAGAGAGAGAGAGAGGACUGUAUUCUUAAGUAGAUAGUGUACAAAUUAAGUUAUCACAGAAAAAGAAAGAGGAGCUACCAAGAAAGAUGAACUGAAGACUGCGACAGAGCUCUUCUCUCUGCCCACAGGAAACAGGGAUUCUCUGUAUAGCCCUGCUGUCCUGGAACUCAUGCUGCAGAUGAGGCUGACCCUUGAAGUGAGAGAGCUGCUUGCCCCUGCCUUCUUACUGCUGAGAUUAAAGCUAAAAAUUGAGGAUGAAAGUCUAGGUGACUUUCUGGUGGCUGUGCAGAUGAGAAGUCGGACAGUGGCACUGCAGUUUGCUCUGAUUGACUCUGGAGCCUGUGUUUGAAGCUACAGCAAUACAACAGUCUGCUCCAGCGCUGAGCUUGUAGGAAGGCGACCACUCCAGGCCGACUCAAUGGCUUUAGCCUCCAGAGUUAUCGUCGUUUGGCAGGAAGUCUUAAAGAACCCCACAGCGUGCCCUUCCGCCCCUGGCACAUCAUAAGCUAUUUUGGGAUGAGUCAUCGGAAUUCUGUGGUUUGCAUAUCCUGAAGGGGAAGAGAAGACACUGUAUGGCUAACAUUUAUUUGAAAUAGCAAGUUGGAAAGAAAAAUUCUUCGAUAAAAGUUCAGCAUUAGGUAAGAAACACCAGAGGCUCUCUCCGUUCUUUUAUGAAGAUUUUGUCUGUAUGUACGUCUCUGACAAUACCAUACAGAAGUAACUCUUCUGCCUGUGCACAGUCCCAGCUUUAUGUACUGCCCACUGAAAUCUGAGCAGGUGUUUAGUAGCAGUAAUUCACAAGCAAUAAGCAAAUGGCUGUUUUUUCAUUGGAGUUUGUGCUAUAGAUGAAGAUCCAGGUCAUUUCUCUGAGACUGCUGGAUAACACCACCAACACUGUCAUUGUACAAUAUGAUGAAGUCCACUCUGUCAUCUGUAACAACAAAAAGUACUGGCCAAGGAAUACAGGGAUUUUUUCUUUAGCGUCAAAGUAGAUGAUGAAGAUGGUUUGUAAUU
rnacentral:lncRNA from 1 species